rnacentral:rRNA from 1 species
UACGUAGGGCGCAAGCGUUAUCCGGAAUUAUUGGGCGUAAAGAGCUCGUAGGCGGUUUGUCGCGUCUGCCGUGAAAGUCCGGGGCUCAACUCCGGAUCUGCGGUGGGUACGGGCAGACUAGAGUGAUGUAGGGGAGACUGGAAUUCCUGGUGUAGCGGUGAAAUGCGCAGAUAUCAGGAGGAACACCGGUGGCGAAGGCGGUUCUCUGGAACGGUACUGACGCUGAGACGCGAAAGCGUGGGGAGCGAACAGG